ACUCUUCAACCCUCCAUUUCCUCGUUUGAAAUGUUUUGAGGUGAUUGGAUUUUGAGUACUUGCUCUUUUAUCAAAAUUAGCUUACUCGUAAUACAUUAGCACAAUUCAACUUCGAACUCGGAUUGACUCGGCGUAAUAGACUAUUCGCUGAGGACAUUGAGAAUUAAUUUUCUCUAAUGGCCGACUUUAGACGAUUUGAAUAGCUUCAAAUACUAUAAACCUUUUUUAAGAU
rnacentral:misc_RNA from 1 species